rnacentral:rRNA from 1 species
AUUGAACGCUGGCGGCAGGCCUAACACAUGCAAGUCGAGCGAGCGGCGGACGGGUGAGUAAUGUCUGGGAAACUGCCUGAUGGAGGGGGAUAACUACUGGAAACGGUUGCUAAUACCGCAUACCAUCAGAUGUGCCCCGAUGGGAUUAGCUAGUAGGUGGGGUAACGGCUCACCUAGGCGACGAUCCCUAGCUGGGCUGAGAGGAUGACCAGCCCAACUGGAACUGAGGCACGGUCCAGACUGCUACGGGAGGCAGCAGUGGGGAAGAUUGCACAAUGGGCGCAAGCCUGAUGCAGCCAUGCCGCGUGUGUGAAGAAGGCCUUAGGGUUGUAAAGCACUUUUAGCGGGGAGGCGUUACCCGCAGAAGAAGCACCGGCUAACUCCGUGCCAGCAGCCGCGGUAAUUC